GGGCGACGUAUUCGACGAAUCUCAACAAGAAUUAGCUGCACAAUGUCUUCUCGGAAUAAUGGGCUCAGUGGUAGCUGAUGAGCAAUCACUAUUACCGCCAAAUGAAAAAGAUCUCUCUGAGGCAUUCACACAUCCGAUAUACUCGUUUCUCAAAGUGCUAUGGUAAAUUUUUGAAUUUUGUUUUAGGAAUUGGAAAUUUUUUCGGCAAAAAAUUAUUGUUAAAUCCGGAUUUUUUAAAUCUAUUUUUGACAUAAAUGUAUUUGGAAUUUUUGAAAAAAAAUUCGAUGUUUUCUAGAGAUUCAAUACUUUUGCCCGAAAAAUCUCAAAUUUCUGAAUUAUUUUUGAAUUCCAAAAGAAAAAAAAAAAAAAAUUAUUUUUCCCCUAAAAAUAAAAAUAGGAAAUUUAAUCACACAUUUUAUGAUUACUCUCCCAAAACAGAAAACAAAUUCUGAGAAUGCGUAUUGGGCAACAUAUUUGACGCGCAAAAUAUCUCGUAGCGAAAGCUACAGUACCCCAUUAAAUGACUACUGUAGCGCUUGUGUCGAUUUACGGGAUCUCGAUUUUCGCGAAAAAAUUUUCUUUUCGAGUUUUGACAGCGAUAUUCAAUUUUUCUUCCUUUUUCGUAUCGUUUUGUAUUUGUUCAAUAUUUUAUCUAUUAAUAAAUUAUUUUAAUUGAAAAACGUCCAAUAUUGAAAUUCAUUUUGAUGUGGAAACUCCUACAAACGUAUUUUUACAUUAUUUCCCGUUAAUUGCCGGGUUUCAUCCGGGAAAAACUUGCAAUAGACGGGAAAUAAUGUAGAAAUAUGUUUGUAGGAGUUUCGACAUCAAAAUGAAAUUCAAUAUUGGACUUUUUCAAUUAAAAUAAUUUAUUAAUAGAUAAAAUAUUGAACAGAUCCACAAAACGAUACGAAAAAGAAAAAAAAAAUUGAAUAUCGCUGUCAAAACUCGAAAAGAAAAUUUUUUCGAAAAUCAAGAUCCCGUAAAUCGACACAAGAGCGCUACAGUAGUCAUUUAAUGGGGUACUGUAGUUUUCGCUACGAGAUAUUUUGCGCGUCAAAUAUGUUGCGUAAUACGCAUUCUCAGAGUUUAGUGUUCUUGUAACAGUAAAAAAACCUAAAUUUAAAAAAUUCCAGCUCUCCACCUGACAACGAUGAAGCUUCAAGUGACGUGAUGGCUGCAAUGAUGGCUGCAAUGCGAGAAAAAGAUUCCUCGCUGACCUACGUCUUUCUAUAUUUCAUUAAAGGCACAGCAGGCGGCCGACCGACCGAAUGUAUAGAAUGUUAUAAGAAUAUUGCAAAAAUGAGUGGGCGAAGUGUUGAUGAGAUGCUUGCAUCAGAUCUUCAACUAUGUGCAGUUAAUGAUAAUCGACUAUUCGCCUAUCUUGUUCCGUUCGUAUUCUCACAGUUUGAAGAGGAAGUCAUGUCGACGCCGGCACUUUUGGCGACACUUUGCGCGAAUCUUGAUGCGAUUCAACUUAGAUCGUUUGUCAGCGAAAUUAUUCGGUAGGUAUUAGGUCGGCAAAUAAUUAUUGACGUAUUUUGCCAUUUUACGAUUUUUUGUAAAUUUUAUAUGUUAUGUUUUCGAGGCAGAACCAGGAGGCGAAGACGAGUAGUUUAUUAUUACAUAACUAAGGAAUACCGUAUUUCUUCUAUUAAUAUGGCUGCAAUACUAUUUUUCGGUGGUCUUCCCGCUUGCAAUACUAAUAGGGAGUGCAAGACUAUUAGGGAGUGCAAUACUAAUUUUCAGAAUAUUUUUCUGACUUUGAGCUUACUAGUUUUUUCUGAAAAAAAUCGAACCUUGUGCGAAAAUUCAGAAAAGGUUUGUACCAAAAAAAAGUAGACGCAAGACUAUUAGGGAGUGCAAUACUAAUAGGGAGUGCAAGUCUAAUAGGGAGGCCAUAUUAAUAGAAGAAAUACGGUACUUUGGUCAUCUGCGUAGUAUUAAGAUUUGAAAAAAAAAGAAAAAUUUUUGAAAAUUUUUUUUUCGUGAUUUUUUGAGUUAGCCGUUAGAAACGUGAUGUUAAUAUUUAAAUCAAUUAAGUUUUGUUUGUUUAGUGCAAAAAAUGAAUCCCAACACAAUUGAGCCAUUUCAUAAAGUUUUAUAGUGAAUCAAAGUCAAAAAGCGAACCAUACAAAAAUACCAUAUUUUUCAGUUUUGAUUAAUUCUUGAAAGUAUUUAUGAUAAUUUGUACAAAAUCAUUACUUUUAUUCAUUUUAUAAAAAUUCUAGUCAUUUCCUGUAGAUUUCGCAACUUUUCGAAAUUCAAUUUUUUCUAAAAGUAUGGUUUUUGGAUAACCUUUACACUUUGUCAAUGACAAUUUUUUCAACCCAAAAAACCUUGAAAAUAUUUUAGUUCAGCGUUUUUGUUUUAUAUUUACCGUAUUUCUUCAUAGUUUGACGUUUUCAAAAUUGAAUUUCACUUCCAACUUUCGCAUGACUUUCUUUGAAAAAUAGUAAGCGUUUUUUAUUGGCUGAAAAAGCCAGGUGAUGAAGAAAUACAGUAAAUAUAAAACAAAAACGCUGAACUAAAAUAUUUUCAAGGUUUUUGGGUUGAAAAAAUGGUCAUUGACAAAUUGUAAAGGUUAUCCAAAAACCAUACUUUUAGAAAAAAUUGAAUUUUGAAAAGUUGCGAAAUCUACCGGAAAUGACUAGAAUUUUUAUAAAAUGAAUAAAAGUAAUGAUUUUAUACAAAUUAUCAUAAAUACUUUCAAGAAUCAAUCAAAACUGAAAAAUAUGGUAUUUUUUGUAUGGUUCGCGUUUUGACUUUGAUUCACUAUAAAACUUUAUGAAAUGGCUCAAUUGAGUUGGGAUUCAUUUUUUGCACUAAACAAACAAAACUUUAUUGAUUUAGAUAUUAACAUCAAGUUUCUAAUCGCUAACUCAAAAAAAUCACGAAAAAAACAAUUCAAAAAAUUUUCGAUUUUUCAAAUCUUAAUACUACGCAGAUGACCAAAGUAGAUGAAAUUUAUAUGCUUUCAUAUACUCGCUGCCUACUAUAACUCACAUAUAUAAAAUUUACAAAAAAUCGUAAAAUGGCAAAAUACGUCAAUAAUUAUUUGCCGACCUAAUAGUUUGAAAAAAUUCGGUUUUUUUUCAAGACUUUUUGGAAUUCAAAAAAAUGCGAAAAAAAUAUGGUUAAAUUCUGAUUGAAAUGAGUUUUUUCUCACCAAAAUUGUAACUUGUGGUUUUACGUAGUCAGUUUUUGCGAAAAUCAAUCUAAAUUAUUUUUGAUGGCAUCCAUUAGUACUGCUAUUCACUUCCAUACCAAAAAAAUAUUGACUAAAAAAUUUGGACAAAUAUUCUAGUAAAAUAACAUAAAAUUUAAUAUAUAUUGUACCAGCUUAACGAUUUUUUUCCCAAUUUCCAGAAGGUUUUAGAACAUUCUAGAAAAUUUGAAUUUCCGCAAAAUUUUACUGAACAAUUGUACUGAACUACAGUAAUCCUACAAUACUCCAAUAGUACCUCUACAGUACUACUUCAGUACCCCGACCAUAUCCCCCCACUAACCUCAAACCAAUAUCCCUUCAAAAGACGAAAAGCCAAUUUUUUCAAAGCUACAGUAAUCCUACAGUACCACUACAGUGCCCCGAUCAUAUCCCCCCAGCUAACCCCAAACAAAUAUCCCUUCAAAAGACGAAAAACCAAUUUUUCUCAAACUACAGUAAUCCUACAGUACUCCUACAGUACCCCAUCAUAUCCCCCCGCUAACCCCAAACCAAUAUCCCUUCAAACGACGAAAAGCCAAUUUUUCCAAAGCUACAGUAAUCCUACAGUGCUCCUACAGUACUACUACCGUAUCUUCACAUUAUCCCUCACUAACUCCCAACUCAAUACCUCUACAAAAGACGGAAGGCCAAUUUUUCCAAAGCUACAGUAGUCCUACAGUACUCCUACAGUACCUCUACAGCACUAGUUUUUUUCCAAAAACCAAUUAAAAUGUUGGUAAAAUUUCAACAUUUCCCACAUUUCCUAUACAUUAAUAUGUAUAUUUAAAUUUUCAAAAAAAUAUCAACUCUUUAAAAAGACCAAUGUUUCCAAUGUUUCCAGAGAAGAAAUCAAGAUAUUCCGUAAAGAAUCAUUCCCAAAAAUGGUGAUGGAUUCGGUUGAUUGGGCGACAACUCCACAAUGGGUAUUCUGGCAUUUGGUACAUGCUGACGGAGUUCCUAUAGAAUGGUUUUUGAGUACAAUUCCGAAAUUUGAUGCCGUCGGUCAUGACGAGGCGAUAGCGAAUAUUUUGUUGAUGAUGAAGAGAAUGGGUAUGGUUUUUAAAUAAUACAAUUAGUGAUUUUCGAAUAAAAAUUGAUUUUUUGUGUGAAAAUUCCAGAAGCUGCUAGGGUUUCUUUUUUUUAGAAAUUGACUCAAAAAAAUUAAAAAAAGAUUUAAGAUUUUUUUUUUUUUAAUUUCAGACAUUCCAAAUUAAAUUUCGAAUUAAACAUCUCAAUUUUUCAAGAACAUUGGAAAUUGUUUUCAGUUUAGAAUUAAAGGUGGUGUAUUUGAUUUUUUGAUUGCUUUAUUAGACUCUCAAUUGUCUGAAAACAUCGAAUUUCAUAAUGAAACUUUUUGAAAACUUCUCAAAAAAAAUUUAUAAACGGCUCGAAAAAUGGCCUAAAAUUAUUUUAUUUUAUUAGAAAUUUGACCGACUUGUCAAGCGGCUGGAAACGUUAAUUUUUUGAAAUCACCGUCAAUUUUUGGGUAUACAUAUUAAUUAUCUUGCAUUUUCAACUUCAUUUAGGUAUUUUAAAGUCACUCGGCAUUCGCCGCCAGAUUCUUGCCCGUGUUUCACAGCUUUUAAUCCAAGUUUCGCUCAAAAAAAAUUAACAUGGAUUAGAAGCUGGCCAAACUUGGGCCACACUUGGGUCAAACUUGGGCGAUGCGUCAAAAAAGGAAAAAAGUCAACCGCUGUGUAGCCCACUCUCACUCAGUCCAAGUUUUGCCCAAGUUUAACCCAAGUUUAGCCCAAGAUUCACCUGUAUGUUGAACUCCGAUCGUUUUUCCCGUUGUGCUGAUCUCUUACCUGUUGAGCCAUGAUGGUCGCGCGAGAAUAUUUUAUUAAUUUCAAUAUUAAUAUUGCAAACUGUUGUUUCUACUUACGCGUAGCCAUUCUCAUAGGUUUAGGUUAAUUUUCAGUCAGUACUGUAUUCGAUAAUGCUAAAUCAUAAUGAAUGAAUUUCAGUUUUCUAUUGAUACCAUUUUUCUUCAGAACCCAAUAUUCUGAACAUUCUAUCAAGUAUCAAGUGCCAAGUAAAUUCUCGAGGGGUCAGUAUUUCAGAAAAGCUUUUCCAGUAGAUCAAAAUUUUGAUUAAAUGAUCGGAGAAUAACAACUUUUAGCUAUCAAAAAUUGAUUUUAAAAAUUUAAAUUCAAAUUUAAUCACAACAGAAAACAUUCUUCACGGAUUUACAUUAAAUUAGCAAAAUAAUAAUGAUAUUUAAACAGUUCCAAUCACAAAAUUCCUAUUUUUUGUCCGCCGAGGGAGCUGCGGCGGCGCGCCGCGUGUUUAAAGUUGGGCGAGACUUUGGCGAAACUUGGAUGUUUUAUUGUUUUUUAGACUCAAAAUUAUCUGAAAACACCGAAUUUCAUAAUGAAACUUCUUCAAAACUUCUCAAAAAAAAAAGUUAUGACGGCUCAAAAAAUGGCCUAAAAUUAGUUAAAAUUUGAAAUUUGACCGACUUGUAAAGCGGCUGGAAAUUAACUUUUUUGAAAUAACCGUCAAAUUUUGGGUAUACUCGUCAAUUAUCUUGCGUUUUCAACAUCAUUUAAGUAUUUUAAAGUCGAUGGACGGUGAGAUUUGGUUAAAAAAUUGAAAAAUCUCACCACCCAUCGACUUUAAAAUACCUAAAUGAAAUUGAAAAUACAAGAUAAUUAAAUCUUAUACUCAAAAUUAGACGGUGAUUUCAAAAAAUAAAUAGUUUCCAGCCGCUUGACAAGUCGGUCAAAUUUCAAAUUUUAACUAAUUUUAGGCCAUUUUUCGAGCCGUUUAUAACUUUUUUUUUGAGAAGUUUUCAAGAAGUUUAAUUAUGAAAUUCGGUGUUUUCAAACAAUUUUAAGCCUAAUAAUAAAUCAAUACAAAAAAAUUCGAGUACACCACCUUUUUUUAAAUUCUAAUUUUUCAUGUGAAAGUUUCUGAAAAAAAUUUUUAAAAUCAAAAUUGUUAAGUUUUUGUAAUUUUAAAUUGAAUUUUAAAUAGUUUUUAAAUAUACAUUAUUCUUAGAAUUAUAUAUAGAACUUAUUUUUUACGAUAGUUUGGAUAAAAUUAUGAAGAAAAAGCAAUUUUUCUAGAAAUUUGAAAUUUCAGAGAAUUAUACAUCAAAAUUCUUUUUUUUUUAUGUAAAAAGAUCGGAAAAAUGACACCCUGCUUCCUAUAUAUAUAUAAAUAAAUAAAAUAUCGAUUUUCAGACCGUGAACCAUGGGCUGGACUGAUUCGAGCACUGUUCAAUCGUGUUCCGAAUAAAGAUGACACAUUCACAAUUGACGCAAUGAAAGUACUUAUUGAGGAUUCGGAACAAUGUCAAAAAGUCGCUGAAAUAGUUGCACAGUUGAUCAAGAAAUUGUUAGGG
rnacentral:sRNA from 1 species